rnacentral:rRNA from 1 species
AACGUAGGUUCCGAGCGUUAUCCGGAUUUACUGGGCGUAAAGCGUGUUCAGGCGGCCUGGCAAGUCGGGCAUGAAAUCUCUCGGCUCAACCGAGAGAGGCUGUCCGAUACUGCUGGGCUUGAGGACGGUAGAGGGUGGUGGAAUUCCGCGUGUAGUGGUGAAAUGCGUAGAUAUGCGGAGGAACACCAGUGGCGAAGGCGGCCACCUGGACCGUCCCUGACGCUCAAACACGAAAGCUAGGGUAGCGAACGGG